rnacentral:pre_miRNA from 1 species
UACCCUGUAGAUCCGAAUUUGUAUUUCCCACAAUGACAAAUUCGGUUCUAGAGAGGUUC